GAUGAACGCUGGCGGCGUGCCUAAUACAUGCAAGUCGAGCGAACAGAUGAGGAGCUUGCUCCUCUGACGUUAGCGGCGGACGGGUGAGUAACACGUGGAUAACCUACCUAUAAGACUGGGAUAACUUCGGGAAACCGGAGCUAAUACCGGAUAAUAUAUUGAACCGCAUGGUUCAAUAGUGAAAGACGGUUUUGCUGUCACUUAUAGAUGGAUCCGCGCCGCAUUAGCUAGUUGGUAAGGUAACGGCUUACCAAGGCAACGAUGCGUAGCCGACCUGAGAGGGUGAUGGGCCACACUGGAACUGAAACACGGUCCAGACUCCUACGGGAGGCAGCAGUAGGGAAUCUUCCGCAAUGGGCGAAAGCCUGACGGAGCAAGGCCGCGUGAGGAAGGAAGGUCUUCGGAUCGUAAAACUCUGUUAUUAGGGAAGAACAAAUGUGUAAGUAACUAUGCACGUCUUGACGGUACCUAAUCAGAAAGCCACGGCUAACUACGUG
rnacentral:rRNA from 1 species